AACGAACGCUGGCGGCAUGCCUAACACAUGCAAGUCGAACGAGACCUUCGGGUCUAGUGGCGCACGGGUGCGUAACGCGUGGGAACCUGCCCUUAGGUUCGGAAUAACUCCCCGAAAGGGGUGCUAAUACCGGAUAAUGUCUUCGGACCAAAGAUUUAUCGCCUUUGGAUGGGCCCGCGUUGGAUUAGCUAGUUGGUAGGGUAAAAGCCUACCAAGGCGACGAUCCAUAGCUGGUCUGAGAGGAUGAUCAGCCACACUGGGACUGAGACACGGCCCAGACUCCGACGGGAGGCAGCAGUGGGGAAUAUUGGACAAUGGGCGAAAGCCUGAUCCAGCAAUGCCGCGUGAGUGAUGAAGGCCUUAGGGGUGUAAAGCUCUUUUACCCGGGAUGAUAAUGACAGUACCGGGAGAAUAGGCUCCGGCUAACUCCA
rnacentral:rRNA from 1 species